rnacentral:rRNA from 1 species
GAUGAACGCUGGCGGCGUGCCUAAUACAUGCAAGUCGAGCGAACAGAUGAGGAGCUUGCUCCUCUGACGUUAGCGGCGGACGGGUGAGUAACACGUGGAUAACCUACCUAUAAGACUGGGAUAACUUCGGGAAACCGGAGCUAAUACCGGAUAAUAUAUUGAACCGCAUUGUUCAAUAGUGAAAGACGGUUUUGCUGUCACUUAUAGAUGGAUCCGCGCCGCAUUAGCUAGUUGGUAAGGUAACGGCUUACCAAGGCAACGAUGCGUAGCCGACCUGAGAGGGUGAUCGGCCACACUGGAACUGAGACACGGUCCAGACUCCUACGGGAGGCAGCAGUAGGGAAUCUUCCGCAAUGGGCGAAAGCCUGACGGAGCAAAGCCGCGUGAGUGAUGAAGGUCUUCGGAUCGUAAAACUCUGUUAUUAGGGAAGAACAAAUGUGUAAGUACCUAUGCACGUCUUGACGGUACCUAAUCAGAAAGCCACGGCUAACUACGUG